rnacentral:rRNA from 1 species
AUUCCAGCUCCAAUAGCGUAUAUUAAAGUUGUUGCGGUUAAAAAGCUCGUAGUUGGAUCUCGGCGGGCAGGGGGUGGUUCGCUCUUCAGCGCUACUGCCCCGCUUUGCCCGUGUGAUUGGCGGAGGUUUCGGGGUGCUCUUCGUUGAGUGACUCGGAGCGCCGUCAGGUUUACUUUGAAAAAAUUAGAGUGCUCAAAGCAGGCUUUUCACGCUUGAAUAUUCGUGCAUGGAAUAAUGGAAUAGGAACUCGUUUCUAUUUUGUUGGUUUUCGGAAAUCGAGUUAAUGAUUAACAGGGACAAUUGGGGGCAUUAGUAUUCAGACGACAGAGGUGAAAUUCUUGGACCGUCUGGAGACUGACUACUGCGAAAGCAUUUGCCAAGAGUGUUUUCAUCG